rfam:Schistosoma haematobium scaffold2093_2, whole genome shotgun sequence.
AGUUUUAUGAAUUCAUGCCAAGAUUUUGUUAGACACCAUCCCAUCAGGGCUGAUGAGACUUCCAAAAUAAGUGGGAUG